GAUGAAGAACGUAGCGAAAUGCGAUACGUAAUGUGAAUUGCAGAAUUCAGUGAAUCAUCGAGUCUUUGAACGCACAUUGCGCCCUCUGGUAUUCCGGAGGGCAUGCCUGUCCGAGCGUCAUUGCUGCCCUCAAGCACGGCUUGUGUGUUGGGCCCCGCCCCCCGAUCCCGGGGGGCGGGCCCGAAAGGCAGCGGCGGCACCGCGUCCGGUCCUCGAGCGUAUGGGGCUUUGCCACCCGCUCUGUAGGCCCGGCCGGCGCCUGCCGAUCAACCAAACUUUUUUCCAGGUUGACCUCGGAUCAGGUAGGGAUACCCGCUGAACUUAAGCAUAUCAAUAAGCGGAGGA
rnacentral:misc_RNA from 1 species